rnacentral:rRNA from 1 species
GGUGAGUAACACGUAGGUAAUCUACCUUUGGAUGGGGAAUAACAACCGGAAACGGUUGCUAAUACCGCAUAAUGCAGCGGCACCUAAUGGUGACAGUUGUUAAAGCGGGGGAUCGAAAGACCUCGCGUCUGAGGAGGAGCCUGCGGCGGAUUAGCUAGUUGGUAAGGUAAUGGCUUACCAAGGCGAUGAUCCGUAACCGGCCUGAGAGGGCGGUCGGUCACACUGACACUGACAUACGGGUCAGACUCCUACGGGAGGCAGCAGUCGGGAAUUUUGGGCAAUGGGCGAAAGCCUGACCCAGCAACGCCGCGUGAAGGAUGAAAUCCCUCGGGAUGUAAACUUCGCAAGAACAGGAAGAAUAAGUAAGGGUUAAUAUCUCUUAUGAUGACGGUACUGUUUGUAAGCUCCGGCUAACUCCGUGCCAGCAGCCGCGGUAAUACGGGGGGAGCAAGCGUUGUUCGGAUUUACUGGGCGUAAAGGGCGCGUAGGCGGCCACCGCAAGUCGGUUGUGAAAUCUCUGGGCUUAACCCAGAAAGGUCAACCGAUACUGCGGGGCUAGAGUGCAGAAGGGGCAACUGGAAUUCUCGGUGUAGCGGUGAAAUGCGUAGAUAUCGAGAGGAACACCUGCGGCGAAGGCGGGUUGCUGGGCUGACACUGACGCUGAAGCGCGAAAGCUAGGGGAGCGAACGGGAUUAGAUACCCCGGUAGUCCUAGCCUUAAGCGAUGAAUGCUUGGUGUCUGGGGUUUUAUAGUCCCCGGGUGCCGUCGCUAACGCUUUAAGCAUUCCGCCUGGGGAGUACGGUCGCAAGACUGAAACUCAAAGGAAUUGACGGGGACCCGCACAAGCGGUGGAGCAUGUGGUUUAAUUCGAC